rnacentral:rRNA from 1 species
CCUACGGGAGGCAGCAGUGGGGAAUAUUGGGCAAUGGAGGCAACUCUUACCCAGCAAUGCCGCGUGAAUGAAGAAGGUCUUCGGAUUGUAAAGUUCUUUAAUGGGGGACGAAAAAAAUGACGGUACCCAAGGAAUAAGCCCCGGCUAACUACGGGCCAGCAGCCGCGGGAAUACGUAGGGGGCAAGCGUUGUUCGGAAUGACUGGGCGUAAAGGGUGUGUAGGCGGGGUAGUAAGUUAGAAGUGAAAUACCUAGGGCUUAACUCAGGUGGUGCCUAUAAGACUGCUAUACUUGAGUGCAGUAGAGGAAAGUGGAAUUCCUAGUGUAGCGGUGGAAUGCGUAGAUAUUA